CUGAGGUCAUUUUCAACUGUAAUUUCUGUGAUUGCUGUGGAAAAUUAGAUAAUGAUAUGCUCCUCCUCCUACCUACAAAUACAAUGUGGUGGGAGAACAGGGUGGGUCAUUGACCAAGCAUAACCUACCAGGUCCAUGGCAUGUUCUAAAAUCCAAGUACAAGGGAAUGUGAACCCUCUGGAUAGAUCAGAGAAAUACAUUGCUGAUAGAGGCUGUAGGACAUCUUGUAAAAAGUGAGAUUUCAGCUGGAUUUUGAAGAAUGUGUAGGAGCUUGGCAGGCAGAGAUGAGGGAAAGGCAGUCCAGGCAGAAGAAAUAACACUGCUAGAGGCUGACGAAAGGAAGGUCUGUUUGAUGACAGUGAAUGCCCAGACUAGUGGGAGCAUUUAGAGACUUUGGGCCUGAAGCAGGGACCAGGAGAGACCGUGGAACAGACUGAAGCCAGCUCUGCUGGGAGGAGCUCUUUUAUCUCAGCUGCUUCUCUACCAUCAAAGCCCACUCAACUUUGAGUAGCUGCCCGCCCCCUCGCCGGUCCUGUCCUCCCUAGAAUCCUGCCUGGAGGUUUUAAUUCAGAGUCUCAGAAGACAAGCAAGGGGGUUGCUUUUGAUUGAUCAGUCAAACACAAUCCCCUUCACAAUUGUCUUUGGAGACUCAGGCUCCUGACAUGAAAGAUAAAAACAAGAGAUGCCAGCUUGGUUUAAGAUGGAAGUUUGUGCUAGAUCUUUCUGUUCUUCCUUCAACUCAGAAAAAAGUAAAAUAAAAGGUUUCUCUCUCUGUUCAUUCAGUGCCUUGUUUCCUUUUCUACCCAUCUUGUUCCAUUUCCCAAGGGAAUUUUUACUUAUUUCAGAAGUAAUAAAAGCCAUCCUAUCUUUACCGAGGUUCCUC
rnacentral:lncRNA from 10 species